UACGAAGGGUGCAAGCGUUGUUCGGAAUUACUGGGCGUAAAGGGCGCGUAGGCGGCAUGGCAAGUCAGGAGUGAAAGGCCUGGGCUCAACCGAGGAACUGCUUUUGAUACUGCCAAGCUAGAGUGCGGAAGGGGCAACUGGAAUUCCCAGUGUAGCGGUGAAAUGCGUAGAUAUUGGGAAGAACACCUGAGGCGAAGGCGGGUUGCUGGGCCGACACUGACGCUGAGGCGCGAAAGCCAGGGGAGCAAACGGG
rnacentral:rRNA from 1 species